rnacentral:rRNA from 2 species
AAGUCGGUGAGGUAACCGCAAGGAGCCAGCCGCCGAAGGUGGGACAGAUGAUUGGGGUGAAGUCGUAACAAGGUAGCCGUAUCGGAAGGUGCGGCUGGAUCACCUCCUUUCUAAGGAA